GGCCUCUGUGGCGCAAUGGAUAGCGCAUUGGACUUCUAAUUCAAAGGUUGUGGGUUCGAGUCCCACCAGAGUCG